rnacentral:rRNA from 1 species
AGUGAACGCUGGCGGUAGGCCUAACACAUGCAAGUCGAACGGCAGCACAGUAAGAGCUUGCUCUUACGGGUGGCGAGUGGCGGACGGGUGAGGAAUACAUCGGAAUCUACUUUUUCGUGGGGGAUAACGUAGGGAAACUUACGCUAAUACCGCAUACGACCUACGGGUGAAAGCAGGUGAUCUUCGGACCUUGCGCGAUUGAAUGAGCCGAUGUCGGAUUAGCUAGUUGGCGGGGUAAAGGCCCACCAAGGCGACGAUCCGUAGCUGGUCUGAGAGGAUGAUCAGCAACACUGGAACUGAGACACGGUCCAGACUCCUACGGGAGGCAGCAGUGGGGAAUAUUGGACAAUGGGCGCAAGCCUGAUCCAGCCAUACCGCGUGGGUGAAGAAGGCCUUCGGGUUGUAAAGCCCUUUUGUUGGGAAAGAAAAGCAGCAGGUUAAUACCCCGCUGUUCUGACGGUACCCAAAGAAUAAGCACCGGCUAACUUCGUG